CGGACAAAAUGGCCUUUAUUGUUUAUACAAACUAUUUUUAUAUCUUAGACAGUACAGGUGUCAGACCCUGAUAGGUUUUUGUGUCCUUCUUCUUGCUUGCUAUUUGCUGUUGCUGUGGGUGCCCGUAUGCUGCGGUUCUAAGUUCCGAUUCUUCACAUCCUGUUUACAUACCUGACAAUUUGUGGCUGUCUUAAAGGUACACGGCUAAGUCUUUGAAGUCAACUAACUUGUCUGCAGACCCCAACAGGUUAUAAAACAAGAUUGCAUCUCUGUAAGACAUGCAACAUAUUUGCUUCAAAAUGAAACCAUAAUAAAUUCAGAUUAGAUCCUUUAGGGCAUUUUGAACUUUACCCAUUUCUGUACCCAUAACUGGAAGGAAAAUAAAUAGAGUGAUAAAGUAAAAAUCAUGUGGCAGAGAGAGAGAAAGGCAGAAAAGCUUUAGUGAAAUAUUCAAAAGAUUAUUUUUUUUUAAAUAGGAAAAAACCUUCUUAAUCUCUGUUCCUAUUAAGAUUAGAGAAGAAUAGCCAAUAAUUUCCAGAAUGAAAACAUACACUGGAAUGCAAAACUUUAAUUUGUGAUUAAGUAGUACAGCUACUCUAUUUGUGCAAAGUUCAAUGCAUCUAAAAAUUAUCACAGACAAAACCAGCAAACUAUCAUUCAGAAAAACAAAUCUUUGACCUUCAUCUCAUCUGUAUGAAAGGAAAUCUCCAAAAUAUGGUGAGAAGAAGAAAGCACCAUAUAAUGUGCAGUGUCAUCAAUCCUACUAGUUUAAUUUCCAAGAUGCGCAUCUCAGCUGCUACCACAGGACUUCAAGGCUGUAGUUGAAACACGAGGAAAACUCUAAAUCUUUUGUACCUUCUCUGUAAACCAAUAAAACUGAACAAACCUAGACUCUUUUUUUUUUUUUUAGCAGAUGUAGGUAAGAUUACUUAGAGGCAACCUUCCAGUUUGUUUAAAAAACACUCUCAGCUGGCCUUUGUGUGACCACCAGAGGGCAGACAGAUGCAGCAGAAGAUUAAAGCUUUCCUACACUAAGUACAGAACAUUUUAACAAAAGCUGCACUUAUUUCUUGAAAAGGUAAUUUAAUACCUACUGCUUUCUUUGUAAAAACCCUAAAUAGGAGUUUUUAAAAAACACUAUAAGUCCAAUGCUAUCUUCGCACCUGGGAAUUAUUUCACAUAGCUACACAGAGACAUCAGUUUAUCAACCUUAUUUUAAAGGGAAAUUACAUUUUUUUAAGCAGUGAAAACAAAGACCAGAUGUUUUCACCAAGGUUUUAAGUGAUUAAAGCAAAAAAGUGUUAUCUUUUAACAACAGGAUUCAAACGUUGAGCAGUGAUAUGGUAUCAACAGAAGAUUAAUGAAAUAAUCUAUUAAAUCAUAAAUGAAAGUUAUCAGUGUUUAUAAUACCACAUUUCAACAGAAAAAAAAAAAGAAAAACAAUAAAACUCGAUGUCCCAGCACUCAAUCCUAAUACAAAGUCUCACAAGUGUUAAUGCAAACUCAAAUUUUGCAUCAUAUGCACACGGUAAAUGAACCAGUUGCAGUACACAAGCAAAAAUACUUCCUAGCAAUAUCCUUUGUAUUGGGUCUGGCUGAGCCCCAUAGCAGCCCUCAUAGUGCUGUGCUUUCUAUUGGAAACUAUAAAGGUGGUAAUAACACACCAGUGUUUUGGCUACUGUUGAACAGUGCUCGCACAGCAUCAAGGCUCUCUGUAGAGGGAUUUCUAAAAAACCGAGGACAUAUGUUACCAUUUUCGGGGUUGGACAACCCAGGCCUGUUAGUUGAAGCUGCAGAGCAGCUUUAAAUUGUCCUGGGAACAAGCAGUGGGAGAAGGAAAACAAGCUGUGCACAAACAAGAAGCCAGGUGCAGAGCAAGUCCUGGGAACCGCGAAAUCAGCACACUCUCAUCGGCACACUCUGAUAAGACACUUGCAGCAUGCUCACCGAUCAGCGACGCGGACCCCCACGUGGCCAGAGACUUUUAUCUAAUCACCUGUGUGCAAAGUCGGGUGAGCGGCCGGUUUAAGUUAUAAAUAUGACCUGUUUGUUUAAUAAAGUGAGCACGGCAUGUAGCCAUAUUGGUGUGAUUGUCGUGACUUGGCUGACUCUCCACGGGGGACCCUCUUCGUCUGGCGCCCCAACAGGGACCCAUUUAUUCGCUUAAAUGCGGCAGUCUCCGUGCAUCGGACCCGAAGGGACGUUGUCCGAUUAGGGAGCUGGAGGUCGGAGGCGGGCGGAACCUGGAAGGCGAAAAGCGGAGUCCAGAGUUCGGUGUAGAGCUGCAGAUCGCACCCCCGCCGGCGAUAAAGGACCUAUAUGGGUCCCUAGCAAGUUUGUGCGACCUGUAUGUCAAGAUCAGAAGAUGGAAGAGAAGACUCAGAGCGAGCAGACAGAAUGAACUGUCUAUGUUGUAUGGGAUGUAACCCGUGGGUAUUGUGCCAAUGUAUGCUAUGUGGGGUAAAAUGGUUCUGUAAGCCAAAGCUUAAAUGUAAAUGGAGUAAAGAGUGUAUGUGUUUGAUUGGUAACCGGGCAUGAAGCAAGAGAAAGCAUACGACUAGUGUAAUACCAUGCUGAUUGGAGACAGUAUACAUCAUCAGAAUCUGUGAGCACAGAUUUGUGGGGUGGAAUGUAAAAAAAAAAAAAAAAAGGUGGAAAUUGUAGGACUAAACAUGUUUAAGUGGUGGACUUGGUUUACGGUCUUGAUGAAUUUUUUACCCAUUGGCCAAAGUAUUUUUGACGUCUUGCCUAGAACAAACAUAUGGGUGACAUGGGCAAAUAUCACGGGAGUAACAGACUUUUGUUUAAGUCUGCAACAGGCAGACAACCCUUUUAGAACUUGUUUAAUUGGUAUUCCCCUGCAAGAGAAUGAAACAAAUGUUGAUGGUUUUUGGAAUGUUAAAACAGUGGAUCUGACUUCCAAUCAGAAUGGUACAUGUAUGAGUCCAAAUGGGCAAUAUGUUUGGCCUUCUAUGCGUAAUGCAGCGUGGCAGAAGACGGUUAUUGAGAAUUUAAAUCAGCCACAUCAUUUACCUUUGCAGGAGUUAGACCUAUUGGCUAGCGUUGUACCUGUUGAAUAUGUUAAUGUAACUGCAACUGGUAUGGCAGACUGUACCCACAUGUCAUCACCACUUCAGCCCGUGAAUGGCACUGGAGUAAUUUGGUUUGGUGACCUGUGGCAGUUAUGGCUAACAUGUCAAGGUGAACGGGGGUUUUAUACAGGGUUUCAAAAUCUAACCGGUUCACCUAUUUGGGGUGAAUUGAAAACUGGGGGUUUCAAUAUAGUUGUAUGAGGGGGUUAUCAGUUGCCACCGGGAGUCUUUUUGAUAUGUGGGGACAGAGCGUGGCCAGGGAUUCCUUUGUAUCCUGUCGGUGGACCAUGUUAUUUAGGGCGUUUGACUUUGUUUGCUCCACAUAUGAAAGACUUAUUAAAAAUGACUCAACAAUCUCACAGAUCACGGAGGGCACUGCGCACCUUUGAUGAAACAUGUAAUGACCGAGUCAAUCUACAGUCUGUAACAGUAAAUGUCCUAGCCUCCAUAUUUAUGCCAGGGGCAAUGGCAGCAUUAAAUGCUAAGAAUAUGCGAAGGUUAGCGUGUUGGGGAGAGAAAUAAUUUAAUCUUACAUCGCAGAUUUUAAGUUCGUUAUUGCUUGAUGUAGAUAGUGUUAGGCAUGCUACAUUACAAAAUAGAGCUGCAACAGAUUUUUUUGUUAUUAGCACAUGGACACGGUUGUGAGGAUUUUGAAGGGAUGUGUUUUGUGAACCUUUCUGAUCAUUCCAUAUCGAUGCACAAGAAGUUGUCAUAACUGCAGGGAAACAUGAAGCAUAUUCUUGCUGAUGAUAAUCCCUUCGAUGAAUGGUUGAGAGGAUUGGGGAUAACAGGUUGGUUAAGGACGUUAUUGAUGGAAGGAAUACGCUUUGUUAUAAUCAUUGUUGUAAUGUUUUUAGUUUUUAGCUGUUUAUUUUCUUGUGUGAAGAAAGGUUUAACAUCUAUUGUGAAACAGACGUGGGUUGUUUAAAAAGAAAAAGGUGGAUAUGUAGAGGGAUUUUUAAAGGACCGAGGACAUAUGUUACCAUUGUCCGGGUUGGACAACCCAGGCCUGUUAGUUGAAGCUGCAGAGCAGCUUUAAAUUGUCCUGGGAACAAGCAGUGGGAGAAAGAAAACAAGCUAUGCACAAACAAGAAGCCAGGUGCAGAGCAAGUCCUGGGAACUGCGAAAUCAGCACACUCUCAUCAGCACACUCUGAUCAGGCACCUGCAGCAUGCCCACCGAUCAGCGACACGGACCCCCACGUGGCCCAGAGACUUUUAUCUAAUCACCUGUGUGUAAAGUUGUGUGAGCGGUCGGUUUAAGUUAUAAAUAUGACCUGUUUGUUUAAUAAAGUGAGCACGGCAUGUAGCCAUAUCGGUGUGAUUGUCGUGACUUGGCUGACUCUCCACGGGGGACCCUCUUCGUCUCUCUUUCAAAAAUCCCCCCCCCCCCCCUCCCAGUAUGCUGUGGGUGGGCAAGAUCUUUGGAGGUGAUAUAGCCAGGACAGUUGACCCAACUUGACCAAAGGGAUAUUGCAUACCAUAUGAUGUCUGCUCAGAUACAAAAGCUAAGAGAAAGGAGGAGGAGGGUGGGGGCAUUCAUUAUUUACAAUGUUUCUCUUCCAGAGCAACUGCUACACACAUUGAAGCCCUGCUUUCUGGGAAGUGGCCAAACAUCACCUGCUGAUGGGAAGCAGAGAAUGACAUCUUUUGUUUUCCUUUGCUUCCGCAUACAUGACUUUUGCUAUUGUUUAAUUCAACUGCCUUUAUCUUGACCCACAAGGAUUAUUUUCAUCUUAUUUUCUCCCCUGCCUGUUCUGCUGAGAAGGGGAGUGAUAGAGUGGCUUGGCAGGCACCUGUCAUCCAGUCAAGGUCAACUGACAACAGUCUUUUUUGGCGCCCAAUGUGGGGCAAGACAACAGCAGUUUUAUAUUAAAUAUGCUAUAGCUAUAGUAGUUAUUAAGUGGCAAGCUCCUGUGUGGGUAUCGCAUGCCAGUCUGAGACCGGAGCAUGGUUCUGUUUGUAUUCUUGGGAACAGAAUUAAGACUCAAAAUGGAGUCAAGAGCCAAGGAACUUUAUUUACCCAACAAUACAUCUGCAAAUGCAAAGGGAGAGAGUGAGAGAUAAAGAGAGAAAGGAAGGAAAGAAAGAAGGAAAGAAUGAAAGAGUUCACAGCAAUAGCUACCACCCUGGAGCUGUGGUGUCCCGACAGUCCGAUUCAUUUCCAAGUCCAGUGGGGGAACAUUCCAUCCGAUGUUAGUUGGUUCCUUUUUUUUUAUAGAGUUGUUACAAGCUGUUCUGCUUAACCACACCUUCCACUCGGUAAUCGUGUACGUGCCCAACAUGGUUGUCAGGGGCCUCCAGGCACCUUGAUCCCCCUGACCCCAGGUCUGGGUCCAUGCACAGGGGUUUGGUUAAGUUUUGCAGGAUCAGCCUCCCCCAUUGCUCCGUCGGUCUCCUCCUUUAACAACGUAUAGAUAAAUCUCUGCGGUGGCAGUGGUGUUAUCUUCCCGCCUUAAAUCUCUUCUGUGGCAGUGGUGUUAUCUUCCUGCCUUAACAAUGUAUAGAUAGAUCAUUCACUGUGGUGAUGGCAUGAGUUUCCUACCAUAGCAAUGUUGAGAAAACACAUCUGCUGUGGUGAUGGUGGGUCUCACCAACCCAGUCUCUUACAGUGGGUCACAAAGUUUGUUUGCUGAACUGCUUAUCUCUGUUUUGCUAAGCUUGGGAAGAUGUUAAUAGAAAUAAUGGGUAUGUACUUUGCCCUGGCAUUGAUGGCUUUGCUGUGCUGGGGGAAGCUAUUGUGUGGAGAAGAUGAGGGAAUACAUCUCCCUCUCCCUGCCCAGGACUGAUGUGCAUAGUUUUGUUAUGCAGGCUCCCAAGGUCCUUGUUCACCCUUAUGUGAGCUGUUUAAUACUGCUAAUUAAACUGUUGGCAUAUUAUAGGUUUUGUGGAAUUUGGUCUCCUCCUGAUGUAGGAGAAAACAACUUUUGGGUAAGGCAAUACUGAAAUGUGCCCUGAGGCAGCCCGUCCCUGGGUGGCUGCGUGUGUGGAAGGCUUUGGGCAGAUUUCUAUGAUGGUUAUCACCUCUCAUUGCCUACCCCAAUGAAAACCAACAGCUUCUAGCACUGUACUGGGGCCUGACCUGUGCCUAUUGAGCCACAGUUCAGUACUUUCAUGUGGCGAUUGAGGCACAGACUUUGCAAGGAUGUUGAAGCAAAGACCUUUAUCGUUAGUUAGUUACAGCUUUUAUAAGUUUAUACUCUACACGCACCACUAAAAGCUUUAUUAUUGGUCAAACUCUAUUGUCCACACACCCAGCCGCUGUUCACUAUAGGCUCUGCUGUUCACGCUGUCUCCUUAUCUUCUAGAAGCGAGAUCACAUUCCUCCUUUGUUUCUGUUCCCUCUGGGUUUCUUCUCAUAUGCCCUCAAAGUUACUUACUUCUUUGCUGCAGGAUCACAGCUGCACAUUGACAAGGCAAGGUCACAGCUGCAUAUUAUCUAUGUCAAACAACCCACUGUCUCCAUACUCUAUACUUUCAGAGGACUGUGGUUGAAGCAAGGACCCAAACAGCAUCUGAGGACGCUAUGGUUGAGACAGGGACACAGACACCAACAACUAGAGUGAUUGCCCCAGUAGUGAAAAAGAAAGGGUGGACAAGAAGAACAAUGGGGCCAUAUCAUCAAUUAGUAAGGGAGGAGGAAGAAGACUAAAGUUUGGAUCAAGAGGCUGGUCCUUCGACAAAGAAAUUGGGGGAAGAAGUGAGACAAUUUAGACAUGAGCCAGAAACUACCCGGUCCUUGACCUCAUCAGAACUUCGAGAUAUGCAGAAAGAUUACAGCCGCCAGCCAGGUGAGCAGAUUGCUGCCUGGCUGCUCUGAUGCUGGGAUAACAGGGCUGACAGUCAGCAACUGGAAGGCAAGGAAGCCCAAUAGCUGGGAUCCCUUGCUAGCAACUGGGGAAUUGAGAGAGGAAUUGGAAAAGAGGCAGCAAUCUGCAGUCUCUGGAGGUGGCUCCUCUCAAGUGUGAGGGCAAGAUAUCCAUUCAAGGAAGAUCUUGUGAACUCCCCAGGAAAGUGGACUACUGCAGAUGAAGGCAUCCAGUACCUGAGUGGUACUGGAAGUCAUCUACAAUGAUCUAGACAAUGGUGAGGUCUCCAAAGAUCCAGAGGAUGUUCUGUGCACAUGGGCCAUGUGGAGGAAGGUGAUUCAAAGCACCCCAGCAUCAUAUUCUAUCAGCCUGGCAGCGAUGUAUUUCCUGGAUAUGGAUACACCAACUAUGGAGAAAGUAUCUUCUUGGCUCCAAAACUUUGAAGAAAACCUCUGUACUCCCUUAUUCCUAUGGGCCAGCACCUUGGCUGUCAAGGGCGUCCCAAGAAAUCAGUCCUCUUCUGCUCCAGUCAGAGGGAAAGGGAGCCCCAGGUGCAUGCCACGUGGUGCACUGUGGUUCUGCCUGCAUGACCAGGGGGAGGACAUGAGGGAGUGGGAUGGUGAACCCACCCUUAAGCAGGAAGCCCAUGUACGUGAACUGAGAGGGAAGCCAGCUGUUAAGAAGGGGUCACCCAAGACAUCUUUUGUUUUCCUUUGCUUCCAUAUGCAUGACUUUUGCUAUUGCUUAAUUAAACUGCCUUUAACUUGACCCAGAA